rnacentral:rRNA from 1 species
CCUACGGGUGGCAGCAGUAGGGAAUCUUCCGCAAUGGACGAAAGUCUGACGGAGCAACGCCGCGUGAGUGAAGAAGGAUUUCGGUUCGUAAAGCUCUGUUGUUAGGGAAGAAAGGUUGUGUAGUAACUAUACACAAAACAGACGGUACCUAACCAGAAAGCCACGGCUAACUACGUGCCAGCAGCCGCGGUAAUACGUAGGUGGCAAGCGUUGUCCGGAAUUAUUGGGCGUAAAGCGCGCGCAGGUGGUUUAGAAAGUCUGAUGUGAAAGCCCACGGCUCAACCGUGGAAGGUCAUUGGAAACUGAUAAACUUGAGUGCAGGAGAGAAAAGUGGAAUUCCUAGUGUAGCGGUGAAAUGCGUAGAGAUUAGGAGGAACACCAGUGGCGAAGGCGGCUUUUUGGCCUGUAACUGACACUGAGGCGCGAAAGCGUGGGGAGCAAACAGGAUUAGAUACCCUAGUAGUC